UACGGAGGGGGCGAGCGUUAUUCGGAAUUAUUGGGCGUAAAGGGUGCGUAGGCGGUUUGGUAAGUCUUAUGUGAAAUCUACAGGCUCAACUUGUAGUCUGCAUGAGAAACUGCCGGGCUUGAGUAUGGGAGAGGUGAGUGGAAUUCCUGGUGUAGCGGUGAAAUGCGUAGAUAUCAGGAGGAACACCUGUGGCGAAAGCGGCUCACUGGACCAUAACUGACGCUGAUGCACGAAAGCUAGGGGAGCAAAGCAGG
rnacentral:rRNA from 1 species